rnacentral:lncRNA from 1 species
ACAGAUUACCAAUUGUGACAUUGGUUAACUAGGAAAACAGUAUGUUGCUUUGAAGUCUAUCUUGGUAGUCUAUCACGAUCUUUUAAUGUUUUCAUGUGGCAUGCUGAUUCCUCGCUACCAUCAUCUCUAAAGGAAAUAACCUAAUCUUGGAUCACUGUGUUGGCACAGAUUACCAAUUGUGAUAUUGGUUAACUAGGAAAAUAGUAUGUUGCUUUGAAGUCUAUCUUGAUAGUAUUUUUUGAGGUCAGUAUGUGUUGCACCUAACUGCAUGCUCUUAAGUAUAAUAUUUUUUCAAUUUAUAGUGAUUGGAUUCAUCAUGUUCUUUUAUUUUUGUCAAACUAAUUCAAAGUGUAUUGUUCAAUUUCUUUUUGCAGAAUUUGUGUGUAAGCAUCAUGAAGGAUAUUGCAUUUCAUGGAUAUACCACUCCUUCCAUCGAGGCCCAAAGCCAUUCAAAUUACUUUGAGUGGGCAGGAUCUGUUAGGUUGUGCGAAAACUGGUAGUGGUAAAUCUGCUGCAUUCACCAUACUUACGAUACAAGCUUUGGUUUUUGCUUCCACUUUUAGUUUUGUCAAGAAUUUUAUUUAGACAUGUAACCCUAUAUGGAUAUUCACUUUAUUUUCUUGUUUUAUUAUAACUCACCAUAUAUUUUUUUUUCAUCCUUGUACGUUACCUGGCUCAACCAGCGUCCUGCUCAGAGUGGAGAUCGACCUUUGGCAUUAUUAUUGGCUCCUACGAGAGAGCUAGUGCAACAAAU